UACGUAGGGGGCAAGCGUUGUUCGGAUUUACUGGGCGUAAAGGGCGCGUAGGCGGCGCGUAAAGUCGGACAUGAAAUCAUUGGGCUUAACCCAAUGGCUGUGCCCGAUACUUGCGUGCUUAGAGUGCGGGAGAGGCAAUCGGAAUUCUCGGUGAAGCGGUGAAAUGCGUAGAUAUCGAGGGGAACUCCAGUGACGAAGGUGGGUUGCUGGACCGACACUGGCGCUGAGGCGCGAAAGCUAGGGGAGCAAACGGG
rnacentral:rRNA from 1 species